AUUGAACGCUGGCGGCAGGCCUAACACAUGCAAGUCGAGCGGAGCGGCGGAGGGGGGAGUAAUGCCUAGGACUCGGCCUGGUAGUGGGGGAUAACGUCCGGAAACGGGCGCUAAUAUCGCAUACUAUCAGAUGAGCCUAGGUCGGAUUAGCUAGUUUGCGGGGUAAAGGCCUACCAAGACGACGAUCCGUAACUGGUCUGAGAGGAUGAUCAGUCACACGAGAACUGAGACACGGUCCAGACUCCUACGGGAGGCAGCAGUGGGGAAUAUUGGACAAUGGGCGAAAGCCUGAUCCAGCCAUGCCGCGUGUGUGAAGAAGGUCUUCGGAUUGUAAAGCACUUUAAGUUGGGAGGCGUUACCAACAGAAUAAGCACCGGCUAACUUCGUGCCAGCAGCCGCGGUAAUUC
rnacentral:rRNA from 1 species